GGGAAGGUGGCUCAGUAGUAGAGCACUUGCCUUGCAUGCAUGAGGCCUUGGGUUCGAUUCCUGAGCAUCACA
rnacentral:tRNA from 1 species